AGAGGUGGCAAGCGUUGUUCGGAAUUAUUGGGCGUAAAGAGCACGUAGGUGGAUUUGUUAGUCAGAUGUGAAAGCCUUUCGUUCAACGGAAGAAUUGCAUCUGAAACUACAAACCUUGAGUAUAGGAGGGGAGAGUGGAACUUCUGGUGGAGCGGUGAAAUGCGUAGAUAUCAGAAGGAACGCCGGCGGCGAAAGCGACUCUCUGGCCUAUAACUGACACUGAGUGUGCGAAAGCUAGGGGGGGAGCAAACGGGAUUAGAUACCCCGGUAGUCCUAGCCGUAAACGAUGGGCACUAAGUAGGGGGAACUACCGAUGUUCUCUCUGCCGUAGCAAACGCAUUAAGUGCCCCCCGCCUGGGGAUACGGCCGCAAGGCUA
rnacentral:rRNA from 1 species